rnacentral:rRNA from 1 species
UACGUAGGGUGCGAGCGUUGUCCGGAAUUACUGGGCGUAAAGAGCUCGUAGGUGGUUUGUCGCGUCGUCUGUGAAAUUCCGGGGCUUAACUUCGGGCGUGCAGGCGAUACGGGCAAUACUUGAGUGCUGUAGGGGAGACUGGAAUUCCUGGUGUAGCGGUGGAAUGCGCAGAUAUCAGGAGGAACACCGGUGGCGAAGGCGGGUCUCUGGGCAGUAACUGACGCUGAGGAGCGAAAGCGUGGGGAGCGAACAGGAUUAGAUACCCCCGUAGU